ACCAAAAUGAUGGAAUUGGUAGACAUACUAGGUUUAGGUUCUAGUUCCAUAUGGAGUAAGGGUUCAAGUCCCUUUUUUGGUA
rnacentral:tRNA from 1 species